rnacentral:rRNA from 1 species
AUUGAACGCUGGCGGCAGGCCUAACACAUGCAAGUCGAGCGAGCGGCGGACGGGUGAGCAAUGUAUGGGGACCUGCGCGAUCGAGGGGGAAAACUGCUGGAACACGUGGCUAAUACCGCUUACGACGGGUUGAGCCCAUAUGGGAUUAGCUAGUUGGUGGGGUAAAGGCUCACCUAGGCGACGAUGUCUAGCUGGUCUGAGAGGAUGAUCAGCCACACUGGGACUGAGACACGGCCCAGACUCCUACGGGAGGCAGCAGUGGGGAAUAUUGGACAAUGGGCGCAAGCCUGAGGCAGCAAUGCCGCGUGUAUGAAGAAGGCCUUAGGGUUGUAAAGUACUGUCAGCGGGGAGGCGUUACCUGCCGAAAAAGCCACGGCUAACUCCGUGCCAGCAGCCGCGGUAAUUC